GCCCUCCCGAGCCCCGGGGAAAAUGCUUUCCAGCAUUGUCGAGCUUCUGAAAGACAAAACUUGUGAUUUGACACUAGCAUCCAGAAAAGGUUUCUGUCUAGAUUAGCAAAUGCCUAAAUUGUUCUUGGUUACAUCCCAUGACCGGUUUUAGGCAGUGACUUCAUACUGCUUUUAGGAUUUUCUUGUACACUGGUGAGAAAAUAGGCAGGUCUGAUAGUGGUUUCACUUUUUUUCUACUUCACGUUCCAUAAGAUUCUUUUAUCCAAGCGAUUGUUUUAAAAUUCUACUGUAAGCGUUUGUGGUUCACUUUUUUUUUCUUUGCAGCACCCGGGCCUUUUUUUUUUUCUCUAAAUCGGGAGUAAAUAUAGCUGAGUAAAAUUACCUUGGUUAUCUUCCUUCUUUUUAAACUUAAUUGUUUUUAUUAAUAAUUCUAUCUGAAUAUGCAGAAAAAGUGAGUAUGUCCUGUAAUCUAUGCUAGCUUUUCUCGUUUACAGGGUACUCACAAAAUAUGUCUCCCUUAGUGUCCCACAGAAACAUUCUGGGUGCAAUCUGAAUUAAGGUAUGUGUUUUCAAAUAAGUAAUCAGUUUAGAUAUUUGCCUGUGUACCUUUUCCUGUAAUUCAGAGCUUGUGUUCUGUGGGUUUUAUGAUAAACCUGUAAAACAUGUAAGAAUGGUUUUGCAAGUCUGAAUCGUUGAAGGCAGCAAUAAGUGGAUUUAAAGCCUGUUCUUGAGCAGACAAAGGGGAAAAGUGUGACUCUGAUGCUGAACUUGUCAUUUUUCAUUUGACUUGCCUUUAAUUAUUGAAGAAGAGAGAGAACUAGGAAAAGAAAUAGAAUUGAUUAUUGAGCACUCCUAAAAAGCUCACCAUGAUUCUGGGUAGAGCCAAAGUGAAGGAUGAUGGAACAGAGCUCUGUGCAUUAGAAGGAAAUAAACCUGAUGUCCACACAGAGUCUUACUAAUUUCUGUUUUUAAAAUGCAAAAUAAGUUUAGGAAGUGUUGGAAGUUAGUAUUUUGGGAAAGAAAUGGCAGUUCCACAAAACAUUCCAUUCCAUUUAAGAGAGGCCCUUGGACUGAUUCAUGUUGUAACUGCUGUCACUGCAAUCAGUUGGUGGUUCAGCCUUGAAACGUGCACUUGGCCUUCUAUAAAGCACUGUUUUGUUUGCCUUUCAGUGCUAUGAGUCUUGAUAAAUUGGAGAAGUGCCCAAGAGAAAUUCAUCAUCCUGAGAUACAAAAGGUAGGAAGUGACUUUUUCUGGUUUGGUUCUUUUUCUUUAUUGUUUUCUGGAAAUAGAAGUAAUUAAGUAUAGAUACUACUGGUUUGUUUCUUCCAGUAGCUGAUAAUACUAAUACCAAUAAUAAUAAUAAUAAUAAUAGUAAAGUAAUACUACUUCAACUGUCUUUAUUUAUCCAUUGAACUGGCCAUUUUAAAUCUAAACUUCUAAACACAAAUCAAACCAUCAUCCUUGUAGAAUCUUUAAUAGGAGUGGGCUAAAGAUCCUGGUUUUGUUGACAGGAUUUAUUGGUUCAUGAACAGCAAGAGGUAAGUACAAGCCUAACUACCCUCUAGCUCACAGACCUGCCCGGUGAAUAGAGCUUUGUUUUUUUGAUGGGCUUGUGAUGACUUUGAGAUCAAUUGCUCAUUCAUUACAGUAAAAAAAAAAAAAUUGUUUUGAACAUGACAGCAAAAAUAACUUUAAGCACAACUUAAUAAUAAUAAUAGAUCACCAAUUUUAGUUAAUAAUUUUAUGCUAUACUCUUGGGUGAGGGAAGACUCGGACACUCAAUAUGAGAUCAGCAAGCUAUGUUUAUUGCAGAGAGUAUCAGACACUUAUACAGCACAUAAUAAGCUUAUGAAUAUUCUGUAAGCCAAGCGAUCUAUUGGUUAAACUAUACCAUCAACUCUUCCUCAUUCCUUUGGGCCUACAUUCCCUAUUUCCCACGUCUCUCUGUCUACUUGUUAUCCUACCCAGCUAGGCCCAGGCACACGCUAUCUUGCAGGUGCAAAACUCAAAAAUACCUGUGUUCGGUACUUUCCCAGCUCCUGGUCGGCUAACGAGCGAAUGUCUGCGUGACCUCUGUCAUGGAGCCAUUUCUCCACACUAUACUAUCAAAGUUUAAAGGUAAAUUAUUAUAUAUUAGGAGAUGGUGUAAAGUGUAUGUUGUAAUGUGUAGGAUAUAUACAAAGAUACGUACUUGAAAGUCCGUAGAGGAAACAAAUUUUUACGCCUUCUGUUUGACUGUUUGUCAUAUAUUUGGUUUUAUUUCCCAGGGAUCAGUGAAUUUUAACUCUGGAGUCCUCUAUGCUAAGGAUGCUCAGCUUAGAGAUGAUGAAAUGUUCAGUAAUGUAUUUGCUGCAGCUCUGCUUACCCAAGGUUUGGGUAAAACAAGCUUUGGGUUCCCUCUGUCUCACUGGGAGUUGCCCAAUUCAGUUGCAUCUGGUGAAAUUCACCCUGAGACCUUACAGAACCAGCUCCAACUACGUGAGAGCCAUUUGCAGUUCUCUCCAGACACCUGGAGAAUGGGCGACAUUUCUGAGAAUCCGGCGAGCGUGCUUCUAUCAAAACUCAGUCUGUGAAAUUCCUGGGGAAAACCCUUCUGUGUCCUGAAGGGUUCAAACUCUGGUGAGGAUCCAGUUAUCAGGUGCUCACCUGGAUGGUUCCAGCUCUUAAAGUGAACACUUGUACUCUUGCCCUGUAGUUUACAUCUAUUGUAUUUUUGUUAUUUUGCAGGAUUUUUUGUCUUUGCAAAAUAUUGUGCAUUUCACUCUUUGGAACCUCUCAGAUGGUUCUUUGGUGCAGCACCACCCCAGGGGACACUUGCCUGCUGUCCUGAAGGGGUUGGUGGCUAGAAUUGUGAAUCCUGGAGAGUUUAUAAGUCUUCUGUCCCCAGGGAGGUGUCGUGCUUUGUUUACUUUUGUUCUGUUGGUUAGGCGCUGCUUCUCGUUGCAAGUACGAAUUUCAAACUGCCCUGUUCUUAUUUUAACUGUUUUCCUGGUUCUCUCCCUACGGCAGGGAAAGACUCUCGUAUCCUUGUCAUCGGGCUCGGUGCUGUCCAAGAAGAUACAGAGACUAAAAAAAUCAUAAGAAGCAAAAUAUGACUGCAGGGAAAAGAAGCUGGAGAGAACAGAAGACUCAUCACGGCGGGACAGCGUGAGGACUGAAAGUGUAAGAAGAUGUGGAGGGAAACAGAGAAUCUGACAGGAGCAUCGGAGGGACGAGUGCAGGAAUUUUGCUUUUUGCUUGGAUGUAAACUCAGGAGUUGAGAGGAAUUUGGGAGUGAGAAGGGACAUCUCAGAAGGAGAAGAAGAAAAAGAGGUUGUUGUUGUUGUUACAGUCCUGGCAAAAUCUUUUGUUCUAGCUAAUAAAAGAAGUUAGUUUAAAAAACAAAAAGGAAAAAAUGUAGUGUUUUUUUUUUCCUUCACUAUGAUAUUCAUUGGUGGUAUAUGGUGUGUUGUUUCAUUUCUUGGUAUUAUUAACUCUGUGUAAAUUGUUUUUUGAGUGAAGCUGACUUUCUGGAUGGGUUGGUUUGUAUUUGAGGCAGGAUUAAUUUCAGUAGGGUUCUUUCAUAGAUUUCUGAUGGGUAUUACUGGGAUUUUGGUUUUGUUUACUGUAUGUAUGAACCUAGAGCUUUGGUAGGGCCAGCUGGGCUGCUGGAGUUUUGGGUGUGAAUUUAUUAGAUGGCUUUUGUUAGAUGCAGUUUUUAAUUUUUGAAAUGUUUUUCAAUGUAGUGGUUUUAAGGUGGUUUUUAAGAAUUCAUUGUAUUGCUUUAUCUUGUUUGUAGUUGGUGUAUGAUAAGGGAUGUGGUGUGAGUUCUUGAACAUUAUGGUUUUGGUGUUCCUAAGUUCUGAUUUCUUUGUGGUUCAAUAGCUUUUUUUAUUUUUAUUUUUUGGGACAGGGGCAUUUAUAUGGUGGGUUUUUAUAGGCAAUAUGUUUUUUAAUUUAGGUAGUGAUAUUUUUUAAUAUUUUAAUAGUUUAGGUUUUUUAUUUUCA